UAUACACUAUCAGAAUCGUACGGAUUUUUUGGAGAAAAAUCUGAAACGUACGGAUAUGUUGCAGAAUUUCGGAAGGUAGGAAUUUAGCAUCGCCGUUUGUCCAGGCGGAGCCCAUUGAAGACAACAAGCCCAUACAUAGGGAAAGCCCACUUUGCCAGCCUCUGAGACGCGCAGCGGAAGGGAUCAAAGGGAGGGAGACGAACCACGGUGUCGCCGGCGGUCGCGCCAUUCGCCGCCGCCGUUUGCUUCUCCUGCCCCCAUCUCCACCACCAUGCCGCGCCAGGCCACGAGAUGUCGACAGAGAUAAGGUUCCUACAGGCUGGCCUAUUGGAUGAUAGGGGACCAGGAAUAAAAUUAUGUGGCCCAAAAGCACAAGUGGAAAUAUGGCAUGCUUGAGCAAUGCCAUACCUUUUCUUGGAAAUAAUAAUAGAGAACAACGGCAUCAUACGUUUUUGGUGGGGGGAAAGGUGCUGCAAGUGGUGCCCCUUGGACUCCUCAGAGGCAGACUCACUUUUCGGAGAUUUUUUAUUCGGUCAACCCUUUCCAUCUGAUUCUUUCCAGCUUUUGUUCCAUACCCCCAUGUUUUUAGGGUGCACAGGAUUUCCUUUAAGUUGGAAUAACAGUGGAAGCGAACAAUUGGUGGGGGCACAAUUCCUCUAUAUAGAAAGAUUGCUUUUCACGAAA